rnacentral:rRNA from 1 species
AUUGAACGCUGGCGGCAGGCCUAACACAUGCAAGUCGAGCGGAUGAAGGGAGCUUGCUCCUGGAUUCAGCGGCGGACGGGUGAGUAAUGCCUAGGAAUCUGCCUGGUAGUGGGGGAUAACGUCCGGAAACGGGCGCUAAUACCGCAUACGUCCUGAGGGAGAAAGUGGGGGAUCUUCGGACCUCACGCUAUCAGAUGAGCCUAGGUCGGAUUAGCUAGUUGGUGGGGUAAAGGCCUACCAAGGCGACGAUCCGUAACUGGUCUGAGAGGAUGAUCAGUCACACUGGAACUGAGACACGGUCCAGACUCCUACGGGAGGCAGCAGUGGGGAAUAUUGGACAAUGGGCGAAAGCCUGAUCCAGCCAUGCCGCGUGUGUGAAGAAGGCCUUCGGAUUGUAAAGCACUUCAAGUUGGGAGGACGGGCAGUAAGUUAAUACCUUGCUGUUUUGACGUUACCAACAGAAUAAGCACCGGCUAACUUCGUG